UUGUUGGGGUUGUAGGACACUCUAUACGGAGUUACAAAAGAACAUGUUAGACGAAUCAUCUGGAAAGAUGAAUCAAAGAAGGUAAUAAUCCUGUAGUCGAAAACAUAUUCUCUCUUGAGUGGAUCCUGAGUACGACGGAGCACGUGAAAUUCCGUCGGAAUCUGGGAGGACCAUCUCCUAAGGCUAAAUACUCUCUAGUGACCGAUAGUGAACCAGUACCGUGAGGGAAAGGUGAAAAGUACCCCGGAAGGGGAGUGAAAGAGAACUUGAAACCGUGUGCUUACAAGUAGUCAGAGCCCGUUAAUGGGUGAUGGCGUGCCUUUUGUAGAAUGAACCGGCGAGUUACGAUCUGAUGCAAGGUUAAGCAGCAAAUGUGGAGCCGCAGCGAAAGCGAGUCUGAAUAGGGCGUUGAGUAUUUGGUCGUAGACCCGA
rnacentral:rRNA from 1 species